CAGGAUGAACGCUGGCGGCGUGCCUAAUACAUGCAAGUCGAGCGAACAGAUAAGGAGCUUGCUCCUUUGACGUUAGCGGCGGACGGGUGAGUAACACGUGGGUAACCUACCUAUAAGACUGGAAUAACUCCGGGAAACCGGGGCUAAUGCCGGAUAAUAUUUAGAACCGCAUGGUUCUAAAGUGAAAGAUGGUUUUACUAUCACUUAUAGAUGGACCCGCGCCGUAUUAGCUAGUUGGUGGGGUAAUGGCUUACCAAGGCAACGAUACGUAGCCGACCUGAGAGGGUGAUCGGCCACACUGGAACUGAGACACGGUCCAGACUCCUACGGGAGGCAGCAGUAGGGAAUCUUCCGCAAUGGGCGAAAGCCUGACGGAGCAACGCCGCGUGAGUGAUGAAGGUCUUCGGAUCGUAAAACUCUGUUAUUAGGGAAGAACAAAUGUGUAAGUAACUGUGCACGUCUUGACGGUACCUAAUCAGAAAGCCACGGCUAACUACGUGCCAGCAGCCGCGGUAAUAC
rnacentral:rRNA from 1 species